rnacentral:snRNA from 1 species
AAGCCAAUGGUUGAAGCAUCU